CUCGAUGCCGUAUGGCCCCCGUGACACCCCACGCCUCCCCACCGUCCCUGCCUCGGAAUAGCGGGACGCAGGGGCAGUUGGAGGGGUUUCUUUCAGAUGCCAGGAGACAGUCAGAGGAGGUUUGAGGACGGAUGAGGGCCCAUUGGGCACCAUGGCUGAAGUUAAAGUUAAGUUAGCCAAGGGUUUGGGAUCACAGUUGUGGAAAAUGGGGGUUGGUUAGACCCAAGUUAGAGCCUUGCUGCGGUCUGGACUAAUGUAGGGUUACCUUAAGUCCUAUAUAUUUAGCUUAGGGUUAGGUCAAGUCCUGUAAAUAUAUUUACAGUUAGACUUAGGAUAGGCUUACAGUUAUGGAUAACUGGAUUAGAACUAUGGCUAGGGAUAGGAUUAAGGUCAAGAUUAGGAUUAGGUUUUAGUAUUAGCCACUAGAGUGUAACUUCAGGGUUAAAAGGACAGAAUUUUGGGUCAAGUUUAGGGUCAGAGCUCAGCAGUCCAUGGGAAAAGGGGGGAUGACCCCAAAUAUGGCUUUAUGGGGUUUCUUGCCUUCCUUCAGCCGCUCCCCAUCCCCCUGAAAGUCGUCUCCCCACAAAGUCCACCUCGGUCAGCACAAUGUCGCCCCGUCCCCGCCCACCUUCUCCUCGGGGCCGUCCACCUCCAGGAGCUGCGUGCCCAGGACCAAGCAGAAACGUUGGGCAUGCUCCCAGGAGCCAGCCGUCUUGGAGGCAAAAUAGCAGGAGUUCCUGAAAUAGGUCCAACCUUUGGAGCAAGCGGGACAGCCUGAGAUCGUAGCCAGCAAGUGCCAGCAGCCCGCCGCCACGACACUCCCAGCGCUGCAGCUUCCCAUCAUCCCGGCACGGCUCCAGCCUCACAAUGGCCAGAUUUUCCCCGUGGGUGGCCGUAACACAGCGCCGGCUGGCCCAGCCCCGCAGCCGGCCCCCGUCUAACCACUGGAACUGCUGUGCUGUGGCGUCGGGGCGGCACGUGGUCACCGUCAGGUGCUGCCCGUUGGCUUCCACGCACUUGCGGUGGUUUUCAUUGUACAGCAGGAAAGAGCGGGAGGCUGCAGAGAGGGCCCUGCCUCGUCACAGUCUCCCCAGAAGGAAAGGGCUCCCCCGAACCCUGCAGAGCCCCAGCUACUCACCGUGCCGUGAGCCGAUGGUGAGGAAGAGCACGUUCAUUAGCACCGAGACCCCCAGGGCCACGGUCCCUGCCAGCACUAGCUUCUCCCUGGAGCAGCACCCUGAGGCUGAGGAGGGCAGGACACGAAGACACGCUGCUGGCAUUUCUGCUGGGCACAAGGGCACAACCUGGGCCGCAAAGAAAGAUAACGGAGCGGUGAAGCCGCUUGAAGAGAACAACAAAAGGAGCGUGUGUGCCCAAGGGAGCAGAAUCCGGGAGUUCAUCCGGCAGAUAACUAUGGGAAAGACCCCCAGAGCAAGUAAAUGACCGCCACAGCAACUGAAGAAAUGCUGAAUAGAGGAAAGACCACGAAAUAACAAACUGUGGAGGUGUAAAUAAACAGCUCUGAGCCAGACCCACUGCUGGGGCUGAGCCAAUUAGAUGCCUCCACGAUCACUUUUUAAGAAGAAGCCAGAAGAGGAGGUUUCUUCCUCCAUCUUCUUCCUUUUUCUGCCCCUUCUUUUUCUUCUGGCUGGUGGUGAUGCGAGGAGUAGGAACAGUGAGAGGAACAACCAUGUGGACCCAAGGUCAGUGAUGAAAGAGAGGAGGAGGUGUGCUGGAGCAGAGACUCCCCUGCAUUCUAUGGAGAGAACUGUUGAAGCUGAGGUUUAUUUUCAUGUCUUUAAAAACCCCGCAUCAGUGGUAGAGACUCAUUUUGAUAAUGACCCAAUAUCAGGGGCAGAGACUCAUUUUGCUAAAGCUGGCCCCGGACCAGGGGCAGCGAUUCACUUCAUUAAAGGCCCCGAGCCAAGGAUAGUGACUAUGGCCGGAGGAGGCUGUGUCCCGCUGGGGGGACCCAACCACUUCACUACAGACCCCGAGCCAGGGUCAGUGAUCUUUCUUCUUUAAAACUAUGGACAGAGGAGGCUGUGUCCCGAAGGAGGGACCCUUUAUCACUAUGGCCGGAGCAGGCCGUAUCCCGAGGAAGGGACCCAAUAUCCACAGCUGUAACUGUUCAGAGGAACCCACGACAAAGCAGCUCAUUAAACUUAUGCCCAGAAGAGGCCUUGUCCCGAGAGAGGGACCCUGUAACUGCAGAAAGUGCAACCAUGGCAAAGAAUCCACGCCAGAGAUAUUCACCAAGGACUGUGUCUCGUGUGAGGGACCCCGUACGGGCAGAAGCUGCAGCUGCUGGGAACAACCCACACCACAGAAGUUUGUUAAGGACUGUGUCCUGUGGGAGGAACCCCAUGUUGGAGCAGGGGAAGAAUGCCAGGAGUCAUCCUCAUCUGAGAAGACAGAAGCGGCAGAGCCCAUAUGUGAGAGACUGAGCACAUCCCCCACUCCCUGCCCCCCUGAGCCGUUGGGGGAGGAGGUAGAGAUAUGGGGAGCAGUGAGCUGGGCCCGGGAAGAACGGAGGGAUGGGGGAGGGAGAACUUACAGUGCUGGUUGUAAUUUUCUCAUCAUCCUACUCCCUUUUUGCUUUUAUUCCGUUCUGUUUCUUGUAGAAUAAA